rnacentral:rRNA from 1 species
AUUGAACGCUGGCAGAAUGCUUUACACAUGCAAGUCGAACGGCAGCACGGGGGCAACCCUGGUGGCGAGUGGCGAACGGGUGAGUAAUACAUCGGAACGUGCCCAGUCGUGGGGGAUAACGUAGCGAAAGUUACGCUAAUACCGCAUACGAUCUACGGAUGAAAGCGGGGGACCGUAAGGCCUCGCGCGAUUGGAGCGGCCGAUGUCAGAUUAGGUAGUUGGUGAGGUAAAGGCUCACCAAGCCGACGAUCUGUAGCUGGUCUGAGAGGACGACCAGUCACACUGGGACUGAGACACGGCCCAGACUCCUACGGGAGGCAGCAGUGGGGAAUUUUGGACAAUGGGCGCAAGCCUGAUCCAGCCAUUCCGCGUGCAGGACGAAGGCCUUCGGGUUGUAAACUGCUUUUGUACGGAACGAAAAGGCUCUGGUUAAUACCUGGGGCUCAUGACGGUACCGUAAGAAUAAGCACCGGCUAACUACGUGCCAGCCGCCGCGGUAA